UACGUAGGUGGCAAGCGUUGUCCGGAUUUACUGGGCUUAAAGCGUGUGUAGGCGGACUGGUAAGUACCUUGUGAAAUCCCACGGCUCAACCGUGGAACUGCUCGGUAUACUGCUCGUCUUGAGCCACUUAGGGGCUGUCGGAACAAACGGUGGAGCGGUGAAAUGCGUAGAUAUCGAGAGGAACACCUGCGGCGAAGGCGGGUUGCUGGGCCGACACUGACGCUGAGGCGCGAAAGCCAGGGGAGCGAACGGG
rnacentral:rRNA from 1 species